ensembl:lncRNA
GAAUGACUCCCACAACGUGAGAGACCUGGGGAGCUGGGAGCAGCUCUUUAGAAAAUGAAUGACAACAAACCCAGAGCCUCGACAAGACCUAAAACACCACAAACCUCCUUAAAUAACAGGGGAAAUGGCAUUUCCUAAGCCAGCCAGAGACACCAGCCAGUUAUGAUGGUGAAUGUUAGGUGUCAAGCUGACUGGAUGAAGGGAUGCCUGGAGGACCACAGAAGCAAUGUUUCUGGAGUACCUGUCUGGAGGAGGAAGAGGAGGAGGAGCCAGGAGGCAUCCAGCAGAACCAUCAGGCUCCGGACCGUGGUGAACGUCCCAGCACCCCAGUCUCCACUGGCCCCAGGCCGAACUCCACUUGGAAGUGCUGCCCACAGCUCCCCUUGGUAGGAAAAACAACCAGGGAAGGAAGAAAGCACCGACAGGGAGAACACCGCUGGUGGGGACGAGGCCAAGCCUGCCCUGGAGGGCAAGUGUGGACUCCGGCUCCAUUGCUUCCAAGGGCGCCAGCGCCCAGCACACGGUCCCACAGGGCCCAGUCCCCAGCCAACUGUCCCAGACACACUACAGGCCACGGCCUCUAUGAGGCAAAGGGCAUGGCUCAGUUGCAGAGACGAGAAGCAGCAAGGUCCCAGAGUGGCAGGGCCCCAGGGCACAUUCAGUGCUGACACCCUGCACACACGGCUUGACCCUCUCCAAGGACCUUUGAGGGUGGUACUGUCACCGCCAUUUUACAAAUGGGACUUAGAGAAGCUGAGUUACUUGGGUGAGGCUGCACCCAGGAAUGGCAGGGCUGGAACUCAAAGCCAGCCUACAGGGUGCAAGUCCACGUGCUCAGCCACCCGCUGUGUCUCCCAAAGGCACAGCCAUUGCAUCUUUUUUUUUUUCUCACUCUGUCACUUGGGCUAAAGUACAAUGGCACAAUCGCUGCUCACUCCAGCCCUCACCUCCCAGGUUCAAGCGAUUCUCCUGCCUCAGCCUCCUGAGUAGCUUGGAUUACAGACACCCACUGCCACGCUAAUUUUUGUUUUCUUAUUAGAGACAGGUUUCAUCAUGUUGGCCAGGCCGAUUUCAAACUCCUGACCUCAAAUGAUCUGCCUGCAUCGGCCUCCCAAAAUGCUGGGAUUACAGGCCUGGGCCACCACACCCAGCCCAGACAUUGCAUCUAAUGAAGAGAAAAACUAGCCGCUGCCAUCUCUGUGUGAAAGUCUGGACUUGUUUCAAGCAACACCAGUGGGGGCAGCGGUGGCCGUGACCUGCACUUCACGAACACCUCCUGUGGGCUUCCCCCAGGCUCCUCAGCACAGUCUGGGGGUCUGCACAGUGACAUCACCUCCAUUCCCAGCACCCCACACCGUCACUCAUGGUCCAAACCCACCGUCCAUUCCUAGCUCCCCCAUGAGUGAUGCCACAGCUUGGCCAGCACCACUGCUGACCACCACGGUGAGACAUGGGCAGACCGAGGCCAGCGCAAGCAGCAGUCCCUCAGAACCGCAGCUGCCUCACGGGAAACCACGGAUGGUGACAAGGGCCACCCAUUUGCAAACUGAUUGGCUGUUGGGGUCCGGCACAUCUGCUGGGGGGCUACCGACCUGCGGGAGUCCCCGAGACCACCAAUGUAGAUGUCUCAUUCAACCUGAGGGAGAGAGCGCGCGGAAGUGAAAGAAGAAAGUAAAGCGGAGCCUGGAGGUCUGAAUGACUUGUAGUCAAGCAGCAACUUUAUUUUUAUGAGUUACAGCUUUUAUACCUUUUUUCUUGUUACAUUUACUUUAGCUCAGCAGAAAAGGGGGGUAAACAGAAAAGGGAACAGAAAUCACGUAAAAAUAGUUAUCAGGGGCUUGUGAUAACAGCUCACAAAGCAGUUUUAAGGGGGCUUGUGAUAAUAGCUUACAAAGCAGUUUAAGAGUUAAUAUAUGUUUUUCAAAGAUACACAGUGCAAGCAAACAAUGGUGCCCUUAAGGUGGCUUGUUAAUCAUGUUUUCCAUCAGGAGGUAGAACAGAGGCUCAGCUCCUGAGAAAAUAUGGGCAGGGGUCUCUGCCCCUCUCAGGCAUCUCAAUUGCAGCAAGCCUAUUGCUUACACAGAGACUAAAGGGGAUAUGAAGCAGUCAGCACAAUGUCCUCAUAAACCGCAGGCCCUUACUCUGCAUUCUGUUUUUGCCUCAGUGGCUUAGCCAUUUUUACCUCUACUUGACAGCCCUCGAGAGCAGGGGGAGAGCAGAUAGGUCCAGCAGCCAAGAUGGGGCGAGUCACGCUAACUGUAUCAAGCCCUUGGUGCAAACACUGCACUUGGCCACACAGCUGGCACAUUGACUAAUAAGAGUUUAAUCCAAAUUCAUGUAUGUCUUACCUCACUGCAUUCCACCUCAGCAAAUUAAAAGCAAAAUGAAAUUAUAUACUGAAUGCACCGCAUUUUAACUGUGGGCCAAGAAG